rnacentral:lncRNA from 1 species
GGCUGACACAGCACCUGGGCCGAGCAGGCCUGCAGCUUCCCUCUGCGCGCUCACAACACUCUAGGAAGCUAUGGGAGGUGAGGCCCGUAGUGGAGAAGAAUUGAAGGAGAAAAACGGAGGGCUGUUCUGGUGUGGCGCAGGUAGCAUCUAAAGGAACUGGUUUAAAUCCUAAUGCCAAAGUAUGGCAAGAAAUUGCUCCUGGAAAUACUGAUGCCACCCCAGUAACUCAUGGAACUGAAAGCUCUUGGCAUGAAAUAGCAGCUACAUCAGGUGCUCAUCCUGAGGGUAAUGCAGAGCUCUCAGAAGAUAUAUGUAAAGAAUAUGAAGUAAUGUAUUCUUCAUCUUGUGAAACCACAAGAAAUACUACAGGCAUUGAAGAAUCAACUGAUGGGAUGAUUUUAGGACCAGAAGAUCUGAGUUACCAAAUAUAUGAUGUU